GGAUGGGAGAUAGCUCAGUGGUAGGGCAGGUGCCCCUCAUGCAGAAUGCCCCAGGUUCGAACCCAGGGAAGGACUUCCUGUUUA